rnacentral:ncRNA from 2 species
GGCACAUGACCGGGGUGCCGGCGCCGCCAGUGUGCGCAGGCUGAGAGAGUCCCGUAGAACCUGAUCCGGUUCGUACCGGCGUAGGGAGUCCAAUCUGAUGUCUC